CCGCCCCCAUCUUCUCCCUCACUCCCGGCGCCGCCCGAGCCCAAACCUCCCUGGAUCCCGGCGCCGCCCCACCCCCACCUCCUCCCUCGCUCCCGGCCACCCAUGCCGCCUAUGCGCGCCCCUCCCACACACUCCCGACCUCCUCCCGGCGCACAUGCCACCGCCCCUGCUCCUCCCUCCUCCAGGAGGGCGCGCCGCCGCCCCUUUUCUCCCUUCCCCCUGCCGGCAUGCGCGCCGCCGCCCCUCUGGCCAUCGCCGGCAUCCCGCUCGAGCCCGUGAACCCGAGGAAGAUGGAGUCGAUGGAUGAUGGGAAGGAGCAGCGGCUGCCUCGUGGUGACCUCGAUGCUGCUACUGAUGGAGCCUGAUGCCCGCGUCUAUACCUCCUAAGUCGGAGGCGGCGUACCAUGUGUCAACCGCCCUGAACCCUGGUCCUCAUGAUCACGUCAACCAAACAGGGUCAACGACAAGGAUGCUUCUGAUGUAGUAGGUCUGGAUGCGACACCUUUCCUGAAUUUGCUUAUGUAUGAUGCAUUUCAUAGUGUUUCUUCUAUCACGGUAACAAGAAUCUCUACCUACUUUAUUGGUGUAUGGUCAAUGUAUUGGUGAGAAAUUGAGGUUGAAUACCAAUAUACGCACAUACAGCAGCAAUGGUUGAUGACAACAACAGCCUUGUAGCUUCAGGAGUGGAGCAUGAGGAGGGCUCUGUAUUGUGGCGGGGAAGGAGCGGAGGAACUGUGCAUCCGGGAAUGGCGCGAUCGCCGAUCCUAUUUAUUGCUCUACUGUCUGACAGGUGCCACAACGGCCUUGUAGCUUCAGGAGCGGAGCAUGGAGCAGGGCUCUGAGUCGUGGUGGGGCAUGUCGGAGGGCUCUGGGUUAUGGCAGGGAAGGAGCGGAGGAACUGUGCAUCCGGGGAUGGCGUGACCGCCGAUCAUAUCCGUCGCACUGGUGCCUGACAGGUCAAAUGAUCAGCAAGGCAUGUGACAGCAUCUUCAGGCCCAACUCUCACUCUGCUGUCGCCCAUUCAACGCACUCGUCGAUGCUAGGGGUGGAUGGUUCUUUGAUGCUGGCACAACUGGAGACAGCAAGAAGCAGAGGGAGGGAGGCUAUCAUGUUGAAGAAGACGCCGGCACCCUGACAGCGGAAAUGCGGUUUCUCGGAGCUUGCGGGAAGGAGGCCGAUGGCUUCCCGUUGUAGUAACGCGAUGCUGAAGCAACAACACACCAGCCUGCAAGGUGAUUAGCAGUCAGCAAACUAUUGGAAAGAUGCUGGUACCUCAUUUUUCUCAAGCUCUGAAGACAUGCACAAGAAUAGAUCCGUCGAUGAAGUAAACAACAUAUUUCAAGAUAUGAUGGUUAGAGUGCAGCUUUCAGAUAAUUUUCUUCCCUCGGGAUAUUUGAAGACUGUUUGUUACCCAUCAAGUUCAGGAAAACCAAGGGUAUCAUAUGAAUUGGAUUACGUAGAAGACACAGAGAUAAAAGUUGAAGGUGUAUUUUAUCUACUAUCUCCACGAUGACACUGGUGCCUGUGCGCACGAUGAUGGCAUGGUGACGAUGAAUUGGAUUACGUAGAAGGUCGUCUUCCCGGAGCACCACGCGCUGGCCGCCGUCUCCAUCUGCAGCCGCGCCAACAAGACAGAAUCAUACCCCACCCACGUGGCGGCACGACGCAGAAGGGCUACAUGGGUCUAUAGUGGCGCGUGCAAUGGAAAGACACCUACAUGGGCCUAUUAAGCAUGGACUUCACAACCCACUUAGAGCUCCAGAGAUUGUUUUCUUGUACUAUGAAUUUAAGGCGGUUCUCGAGAGAAACAAGUUGCCAUGGACCGGCGAGAUCAAGACAUGGCUCCGACAACAUCAACCCGAGCGGUGGCCGUGAUAGAGAGAGCGUUCGUGAGAGGGGAUGGAGUGGCGGCUGCGCGUCUGUGUCAGUCGACCAGUUGCAAGAGGGGAUGGGGCGGUGGCUGCGCAUACGCGCUUGUGGAGGUGCCGGUAUGCACCCUGAUUUAUUUGAGCCUGGGAGGUGUGCCGCAUUGGGGCGUGGACGACAAGAAGUGUAGGCAUGUGCCCAGCAUAACGGACCAUGAUGGAUUGCUGAGGGGAUGUCAUGUUGCGGCUGGAGCCAUCAUCGACCACGAUGUCGCGCUAGGAGAACAAGGGCAAAGGCGAGGACAUGUUGGUGUUGUUGGAAUAAGGUUUAUUGGGUCUUCCUCCUCCAGCAACAUAUUACACAAUGUAUUUAAGCUGAUUGAUUCUCUUUGGUAAAAAUGUCUCUCAUUUGCUUUAUGAAACUUUACCUUUGUAAAAUUAACUGAGUUAUAUACAUCUAUGUGUGGUAUCUAUCUGGUUAUAUUAAACUGCAGUUCAUUCUUCUUGCUGGAAGGGGUGCCGUGAAAUAUGAUCUGGAUGCCAUUGAAGUUGUAUAUAUGUUGUUGUCCAUUGAUGGAGGGGCGAGCUGGGGCCGGGCCAGCAUUUGCACGUCAACAUUAUUAGAGCUACCAAAUAUGAUGUUUUGGAGAAUAUUUAUUUUGAUGGUUCUGGGAAAGUUUGGAGACUGGCGUGUGAUAUUACUCAUAAAGCAGAGACACAAACAAUGUGGAAACAUACACUAUGGAUGACGUGCUUGCGGCCAUUGGGCUGUGGAAUCCAAGCACUUGUUCUUGCAUGGAUACAUGGGUUGGGUUGUAGAAACCAUGGAGCUCAGUCUACUAUCAAUCUAUCGAGUUUACAUCCCGUUGUCUUGUAAAUCUUUCUCCGGGUAUUGAAAUUCAUAGUUGUUUCUAUGUAUCUUUCCUUGCCACUGGGGUUCAUAAGCUCACAAAUAAUAUAUCAAAUUUAGACAUUUUUUUC